AACGAACGCUGGCGGCAUGCCUAACACAUGCAAGUCGAACGAGACCUUCGGGUCUAGUGGCGCACGGGUGCGUAACGCGUGGGAACCUGCCCUUAGGUUCGGAAUAACUCCCCGAAAGGGGUGCUAAUACCGGAUAAUGUCUUCGGACCAAAGAUUUAUCGCCUUUGGAUGGGCCCGCGUUGGAUUAGCUAGUUGGUAGGGUAAAAGCCUACCAAGGCGACGAUCCAUAGCUGGUCUGAGAGGAUGAUCAGCCACACUGGGACUGAGACACGGCCCAGACUCCUACGGGAGGCAGCAGUGGGGAAUAUUGGACAAUGGGCGAAAGCCUGAUCCAGCAAUGCCGCGUGAGUGAUGAAGGCCUUAGGGUUGUAAAGCUCUUUUACCCGGGAUGAUAAUGACAGUACCGGGAGAAGAAGCGCCGGCUAACUCCGU
rnacentral:rRNA from 1 species